rnacentral:rRNA from 1 species
GGGUUGUGAGGUUAAGCGACUAAGCGUACACGGUGGAUGCCCUGGCAGUCAGAGGCGAUGAAGGACGUGCUAAUCUGCGAUAAGCGUCGGUAAGGUGAUAUGAACCGUUAUAACCGGCGAUUUCCGAAUGGGGAAACCCAGUGUGAUUCGUCACACUAUCAUUAACUGAAUCCAUAGGUUAAUGAGGCGAACCGGGGGAACUGAAACAUCUAAGUACCCCGAGGAAAAGAAAUCAACCGAGAUUCCCCCAGUAGCGGCGAGCGAACGGGGAGCAGCCCAGAGCCUGAAUCAGUGUGUGUGUUAGUGGAAGCGUCUGGAAAGGCGCGCGAUACAGGGUGACAGCCCCGUACACAAAAAUGCACAUACUGUGAGCUCGAUGAGUAGGGCGGGACACGUGGUAUCCUGUCUGAAUAUGGGGGGACCAUCCUCCAAGGCUAAAUACUCCUGACUGACCGAUAGUGAACCAGUACCGUGAGGGAAAGGCGAAAAGAACCCCGGCGAGGGGAGUGAAAAAGAACCUGAAACCGUGUACGUACAAGCAGUGGGAGCCUCUUAAUGGGGUGACUGCGUACCUUUUGUAUAAUGGGUCAGCGACUUAUAUUCUGUAGCAAGGUUAACCGAAUAGGGGAGCCGAAGGGAAACCGAGUCUUAACUGGGCGUUAAGUUGCAGGGUAUAGACCCGAAACCCGGUGAUCUAGCCAUGGGCAGGUUGAAGGUUGGGUAACACUAACUGGAGGACCGAACCGACUAAUGUUGAAAAAUUAGCGGAUGACUUGUGGCUGGGGGUGAAAGGCCAAUCAAACCGGGAGAUAGCUGGUUCUCCCCGAAAGCUAUUUAGGUAGCGCCUCGUGAAUUCAUCUCCGGGGGUAGAGCACUGUUUCGGCAAGGGGGUCAUCCCGACUUACCAACCCGAUGCAAACUGCGAAUACCGGAGAAUGUUAUCACGGGAGACACACGGCGGGUGCUAACGUCCGUCGUGAAGAGGGAAACAACCCAGACCGCCAGCUAAGGUCCCAAAGUCAUGGUUAAGUGGGAAACGAUGUGGGAAGGCCCAGACAGCCAGGAUGUUGGCUUAGAAGCAGCCAUCAUUUAAAGAAAGCGUAAUAGCUCACUGGUCGAGUCGGCCUGCGCGGAAGAUGUAACGGGGCUAAACCAUGCACCGAAGCUGCGGCAGCGACACUAUGUGUUGUUGGGUAGGGGAGCGUUCUGUAAGCCUGUGAAGGUGUACUGUGAGGUAUGCUGGAGGUAUCAGAAGUGCGAAUGCUGACAUAAGUAACGAUAAAGCGGGUGAAAAGCCCGCUCGCCGGAAGACCAAGGGUUCCUGUCCAACGUUAAUCGGGGCAGGGUGAGUCGACCCCUAAGGCGAGGCCGAAAGGCGUAGUCGAUGGGAAACAGGUUAAUAUUCCUGUACUUGGUGUUACUGCGAAGGGGGGACGGAGAAGGCUAUGUUGGCCGGGCGACGGUUGUCCCGGUUUAAGCGUGUAGGCUGGUUUUCCAGGCAAAUCCGGAAAAUCAAGGCUGAGGCGUGAUGACGAGGCACUACGGUGCUGAAGCAACAAAUGCCCUGCUUCCAGGAAAAGCCUCUAAGCAUCAGGUAACAUCAAAUCGUACCCCAAACCGACACAGGUGGUCAGGUAGAGAAUACCAAGGCGCUUGAGAGAACUCGGGUGAAGGAACUAGGCAAAAUGGUGCCGUAACUUCGGGAGAAGGCACGCUGAUAUGUAGGUGAAGUCCCUCGCGGAUGGAGCUGAAAUCAGUCGAAGAUACCAGCUGGCUGCAACUGUUUAUUAAAAACACAGCACUGUGCAAACACGAAAGUGGACGUAUACGGUGUGACGCCUGCCCGGUGCCGGAAGGUUAAUUGAUGGGGUUAGCGGUAACGCGAAGCUCUUGAUCGAAGCCCCGGUAAACGGCGGCCGUAACUAUAACGGUCCUAAGGUAGCGAAAUUCCUUGUCGGGUAAGUUCCGACCUGCACGAAUGGCGUAAUGAUGGCCAGGCUGUCUCCACCCGAGACUCAGUGAAAUUGAACUCGCUGUGAAGAUGCAGUGUACCCGCGGCAAGACGGAAAGACCCCGUGAACCUUUACUAUAGCUUGACACUGAACAUUGAGCCUUGAUGUGUAGGAUAGGUGGGAGGCUUUGAAGUGUGGACGCCAGUCUGCAUGGAGCCGGCCUUGAAAUACCACCCUUUAAUGUUUGAUGUUCUAACGUUGGCCCCUGAUCGGGGUUGCGGACAGUGUCUGGUGGGUAGUUUGACUGGGGCGGUCUCCUCCUAAAGAGUAACGGAGGAGCACGAAGGUUGGCUAAUCCUGGUCGGACAUCAGGAGGUUAGUGCAAUGGCAUAAGCCAGCUUGACUGCGAGCGUGACGGCGCGAGCAGGUGCGAAAGCAGGUCAUAGUGAUCCGGUGGUUCUGAAUGGAAGGGCCAUCGCUCAACGGAUAAAAGGUACUCCGGGGAUAACAGGCUGAUACCGCCCAAGAGUUCAUAUCGACGGCGGUGUUUGGCACCUCGAUGUCGGCUCAUCACAUCCUGGGGCUGAAGUAGGUCCCAAGGGUAUGGCUGUUCGCCAUUUAAAGUGGUACGCGAGCUGGGUUUAGAACGUCGUGAGACAGUUCGGUCCCUAUCUGCCGUGGGCGCUGGAGAACUGAGGGGGGCUGCUCCUAGUACGAGAGGACCGGAGUGGACGCAUCACUGGUGUUCGGGUUGUCAUGCCAAUGGCACUGCCCGGUAGCUAAAUGCGGAAGAGAUAAGUGCUGAAAGCAUCUAAGCACGAAACUUGCCCCGAGAUGAGUUCUCCCUGACUCCUUGAGAGUCCUGAAGGAACGUUGAAGACGACGACGUUGAUAGGCCGGGUGUGUAAGCGCAGCGAUGCGUUGAGCUAACCGGUACUAAUGAACCGUGAGGCUUAACCUUACAACGCCGAAGGUGUUU